AAUUUCCAUUCUGCAACAAGGGCAAUGAGCAUUGUUCUCUAGCCAAGGCACCACGCAUCUCCAGUGGAACCUAUGUGCACAUGGGAGGUGCGCCAGGGUCUCACCAGACUUGAACCUUUCAAGGCAGAUGGUGCACUCUUCUUGUUCAGUAGCUUUCCAGCUCAAUUUGGCCCAAUUGAACUUCUUAUUCGAUCCAUUAUUCUUCUUUGAACCAAAAACCUCUGUUUGCAAUUCUCUUACUGCCAUUGAUCUGCCUUCUGCACCCCUCAAGCUUCCUACGGUUUCAUGCCUUUUGGAUGCUGAUUUCCUCUGUGUUCUUAGCCUCUCGUCUAAUCUCUCCUUGGCUUGUCUUGCGGCUCUUGCCAAUCCUCCCAGCUUCUCUUCUUCAUAUGCCUGGUUUGAUAUGCUUCUUUGCUGAAAAGAGAUAAAAGGAUGAGAAGUUUCAUGGUUGCUUGUGUACAAGCA
rnacentral:misc_RNA from 1 species